CAGAUGCCUCAGUUAGGAUUUCUUAUACCUUGAAGAGACACCGUGACCACAGCAACCCUUAUAAAGGAAAAUAUUUAACUAAGAGUGGCUUAUAGGUUCUGUGGUUCGGUCCAUUAUCAUCAUGGUGAGAAGCAUAAUGUCAUGGUGCUGGAUGGGUAACUGAGAGUUUUACAUCUGUAACUGCAGGCAGAAGGGAAAGAAAGAGAGAGAGGAGAGGAGAGGAGAGGAGAGGAGAGAGAGAGAGAGAAAGAGAGAGAGAGAGAGAGAGAGAGAGAGAGAGAGAGAUCCUACUUGAGAAUCCGAAACCUCUAAUUCCAUCCGCAGUGACACACUUCUUAGAAGAAAGCCACACCCACUCCAACAAAGCCACGCCUCCCAACAGUGCCACUCCCUGUGGGCCUGUAGGGGUCAUUUUCAUCGAAACAACCACAUAGAGCAAUUCGCAGAAGGAAAAUUAUAUGGCUUAUUGUCCCAGACAGUCAGGGACCAUCGUGGCAGCGACAGAUGGCAUGGGAUAGUAAAGGCAUGGAGGUUGGAACUUGAGGCUUUGAACUUGUAAGCACGGAGGAAAGAUUCCACCCUCCGUCACGAACUUCCUCCAGAGAGGCUGCACGAGCUAAUCUUCCCCAAACGGUGCCAUCAACUGGGGACUAACUGUUCAAAUGCCUGACGUUAUGGGAAAAUCUCUCACUGAAACCAUUAUUGGAGUUCAGCAAGCCUGUGCUCUGUGAGGAUGCUGACCUCAGAGCUGUAUGACAGAAUUUGAAGGGAGCUAUGCUCAACUUCCCACAUCACAUAAAGGUGAUUUAGCAUCUCGCUGGUAUCCCUUGAGGAUCUUGGAGCCACUGAUGAGGAAUCAAAGCCAUGAAGAUGCACAAUCACUCCAUGAAAGGACUAGACGUGGCAGAAGUGGGGUGGCAGCCUCUAGCUUGCCAUGUCUUCUGAGUCAGACUGGCUGUGCAUAGUGACAAGGAGCUAUGAAAAACUAUGUUCUCAGAGAAAGCUGAGCAGCAUUUGAAGACGUUCACCUUCCCAGCAAGGGGCCUUGCUGCUACCAUCGGUCCAUUAUUCACACUGGAAAUUAGACACCAGGAACUGGAGAAGAUUGUUUUCUUUUGUUGUUUGGUCUUUUUUUUUUAAAUUUAUGGUUAGAGA
rnacentral:lncRNA from 1 species